rnacentral:rRNA from 1 species
UGGCGGCAGGCUUAACACAUGCAAGUCGAACGGAAACAGAGAGUAGCUUGCUACUUUGCUGUCGAGUGGCGGACGGGUGAGUAAUGCUUGGGAAUAUGCCAAAACGUGGGGGACAACAGUUGGAAACGACUGCUAAUACCGCAUAAUGUCUUCGGACCAAAGCAGGGGACCUUCGGGCCUUGCGCGUUUUGAUUAGCCCAAGUGGGAUUAGCUAGUUGGUAAGGUAAUGGCUUACCAAGGCGACGAUCCCUAGCUGGUCUUAGAGGAUGACCAGCCACACUGGAACUGAGACACGGUCCAGACUCCUACGGGAGGCAGCAGUGGGGAAUAUUGCACAAUGGAGGAAACUCUGAUGCAGCCAUGCCGCGUGUGUGAAGAAGGCUUUCGGGUUGUAAAGCACUUUCAGUGGGGAGGAAAGGGUGUACGUUAAUAGCGUGCAUCUGUGACGUUACCCACAGAAGAAGCACCGGCUAACUCCGUGCCAGCAGCCGCGGUAAUACGGAGGGUGCGAGCGUUAAUCGGAAUUACUGGGCGUAAAGCGCGCGUAGGUGGUUAAUUAAGUCAGAUGUGAAAGCCCAGGGCUCAACCUUGGAACUGCAUUUGAAACUGGUUAACUAGAGUUUUGUAGAGGGUGGUAGAAUUUCAGGUGUAGCGGUGAAAUGCGUAGAGAUCUGAAGGAAUACCAGUGGCGAAGGCGGCCACCUGGACAAAGACUGACACUGAGGCGCGAAGGCGUGGGGAGCAAACGGGAUUAGAUACCCCGGUAGUCCACGCAGUAAACGAUGUCUAUUAGAAGUUUGUGGCUAUAUGCCGUGGGUUUCAAAGCUAACGCAUUAA